rnacentral:rRNA from 1 species
CCUACGGGAGGCAGCAGUGGGGAAUAUUGGACAAUGGGGGCAACCCUGAUCCAGCCAUGCCGCGUGUGUGAAGAAGGCCCUCGGGUUGUAAAGCACUUUUAGUGAGGAAGAACGCCUGGUGGUUAAUACCCAUCAGGAAAGACAUCACUCACAGAAGAAGCACCGGCUAACUCCGUGCCAGCAGCCGCGGUAAUACGGAGGGUGCGAGCGUUAAUCGGAAUUACUGGGCGUAAAGCGCGCGUAGGUGGCUUGAUAAGCCGGUUGUGAAAGCCCCGGGCUCAACCUGGGAACGGCAUCCGGAACUGUCAAGCUAGAGUGCAGGAGAGGAAGGUAGAAUUCCCGGUGUAGCGGUGAAAUGCGUAGAGAUCGGGAGGAAUACCAGUGGCGAAGGCGGCCUUCUGGACUGACACUGACACUGAGGUGCGAAAGCGUGGGUAGCAAACAGGAUUAGAUACCCUUGUAGUC